rnacentral:rRNA from 1 species
GGGAUGAGCUGUGGAUAGGGGUGAAAGGCUAAACAAACUCGGAGAUAGCUGGUUCUCCCCGAAAGCUAUUUAGGUAGCGCCUCGUGAACUCAUCUUCGGGGGUAGAGCACUGUUUCGGCUAGGGGGUCAUCCCGACUUACCAACCCGAUGCAAACUACGAAUACCGAAGAAUGUUAUCACGGGAGACACACGGCGGGUGCUAACGUCCGUCGUGAAGAGGGAAACAACCCAGACCGCCAGCUAAGGUCCCUAAAUCAUCGCUAAGUGGUAAACGAUGUGGAAAGUCAUAGACAGCCAGGAUGUUGGCUUAGAAGCAGCC